GUUUAAUUAUAUACCGUAUAAAGUAAAUAAAAUGAUUGUUUUGAUUUAUUUACCGAAAACAUGAUUGUAAAUAAAUAAAAGGUACUGGUUUUGAUUUAUGUGCUUACUCUAAUGUAUAUACUGUUAUGUAUACAAAUUAUUUUUUAAAUAGGUGGUUUCUAAUAUGUUUUUGAUCCUGAAAAUCCGAGAAAUACACUUCUUCAAAUCGAAGUGAUUUUUAAUAUUGGAAGCACUAUAUAUAUAUAUUGUUCAAAUAUAUAUAUAUAUAUAUUCAUUCAGAUUAAAUAAUUUAGUCUUGAUUUUUAUUCCUAAAAAGUUUUGAAUGAAUUAUCAUGACAAAAUUUCAAUCACCUCCUUUUUAGUUUGUUAGAAGAAUGAGAUAUUUGAUCAUCCGUCUAAUAUUUGUUUGUUUUUAAUACCCUAUCUAGCCAUUAUAAUUGUAAGAAUGAGAGAUUUGAACGAUUUAUUAUAAAUUUUCUGGUUUAUCAUUUAAUAAAUCAAACAAUUCUUAGUUAUACACAUAAUUUACAUAUGCUAGAAUAGUAAAUUAUUAUAUAUAUUUUUAUCGGUAUACUCUUAAGUAACCAAAACUCAAAAACCGUAGGUUAAUAAAUAAGUAACUUUUUAGUUGUUCCAAUAUUAGAUGAUUUUUAUAUUGAAAUUUGAAUUAUAUACUAGGCAGACGUUUAUAUUUCGAGUAUGCACUUAUAUUAUAUAACAGCUUGAUAUAAUUGAUUUGAACACUAACAUGUAAAUAGAGUUUGUUGGUGAUUUUCUUCAAAAAUUUGAUUCUUAUAUAUGUGUUUAGAGUGGAACUAAUUUUUACAAAUGUCAAUCUUUUUAAAUCGACAGUUAUGUACAUUUUAAUUCCUAACCCUAACCGUGUAUUCUUGUACAAGUAUUUAUAUAUGCUGUACUCUUCGUUAAAAAAGCCAGCCACCAAUAUUUUAGAUCGAGCCAUAGCUGAUGCCAUUGUGUUAUCCACCUCUGAUCAUCACCCUCUUCUCCAUCUCUUUCCUCCUUUAUUCCCACGUUCUUCUUCUCCUUCUUUAUGAAGCUGUGCGUUGUUGUUAGGAGAUGCGAGACGCAAGCACCACCACCACCGUGAACCAUCUAACCUCAUCCCACCGGAGCCAUGGUUCAUCACCCGAGGAGCAGCCCAUGUUAUCACAGACUCGUUACCUGCCGUCACAUCCGUUGCGUUGUUGUUACGUAUCGGAUCCGUGAGAUGGAGAGCAUGAGCCGAGAGGAGAGAAAGGCGUUCGAGGCGGAGCCGCCAUGUUCCUCACCACCACCGGUCGUACCGCCGUGAUCCCUUGGUCACAGUAGCUGAUCCAUGUUGUCGGAGAGCCAUCGAUGCUACGUCGGUGACGUCUCGUAUCGGUUGGUGAUGUGGAGCACGUGAUCAAUUAUGAUAAGUUCCUUAUCCUAUUUUUCUUGUAUUACAAGUAACCGUUCUUAUCAUAAACCCUAUACAUAUAUAUUAAUUAUGCCUUUUGUCUUGUAUUAUUUAUAUUCGAUUUGAUGUGUCGCGGUGAGAAGUAGAGAUCCGUGGCGAAACUGUAGCUUUCUUGCUGAUCAAGUCAUUUCGUUUAUAGUCGGACUCGCUUCCGGUUCUUCCUUAUUGGAUAAGGUGAGACCGACAUGCAGAUCAGAUUGCUAUCAGAUUGGUGCUUUCGGGCGUUUCUUUAUUUCUUUUACAGACUUGCGGUUUUAUACUUUUAUCUAUAUUUUUGCAAUUUAUUAUACUAUUUGGAUC